GACGAACGCUGGCGGCGUGCUUAACACAUGCAAGUCGAGCGGAAAGGCCACUUCGGUGGUACUCGAGCGGCGAACGGGUGAGUAACACGUGAGUAAUCUGCCCCUCACUUUGGGAUAGCCACCGGAAACGGUGAUUAAUACCGGAUAUGACCAUAUGUCGCAUGGCGUGUGGUGGAAAGUUUUUCGGUGAGGGAUGUGCUCGCGGCCUAUCAGCUUGAUGGUGUGGUAAUGGCUUACCAUGGCUUCGACGGGUAGCCGGCCUGAGAGGGUGACCGGUCACACUGGGACUGAGACACGGCCCAGACUCCUACGGGAGGCAGCAGUGGGGAAUAUUGGACAAUGGGCGGAAGCCUGAUCCAGCAACGCCGCGUGAGGGAUGACGGCCUUCGGGUUGUAAACCUCUUUCAGUACCGACGAAGCGCAAGUGACGGUAGGUACAGAAGAAGCACCGGCCAACUACGUG
rnacentral:rRNA from 1 species